rnacentral:rRNA from 1 species
GAUGAACGCUGGCGGCGUGCUUAACACAUGCAAGUCGAACGAUGAAGCCCAGCUUGCUGGGUGGAUUAGUGGCGAACGGGUGAGUAACACGUGAGUAACCUGCCCUUGACUCUGGGAUAAGCCUGGGAAACUGGGUCUAAUACUGGAUAUGACUUCUCAUCGCAUGGUGGGGGGUGGAAAGAUUUAUUGGUCUUGGAUGGACUCGCGGCCUAUCAGCUUGUUGGUGAGGUAAUGGCUCACCAAGGCGACGACGGGUAGCCGGCCUGAGAGGGUGACCGGCCACACUGGGACUGAGACACGGCCCAGACUCCUACGGGAGGCAGCAGUGGGGAAUAUUGCACAAAGGGCGCAAGCCUGAUGCAGCGACGCCGCGUGAGGGAUGACGGCCUUCGGGUUGUAAACCUCUUUCAGUAGGGAAGAAGCGAGAGUGACGGUACCUGCAGAAGAAGCGCCGGCUAACUACGUG